UACGUAGGGGGCAAGCGUUGUCCGGAAUCAUUGGGCGUAAAGAGCGUGUAGGCGGCCCGAUAAGUCCGCCGUGAAAGUCCAGGGCUCAACCCUGGAAUGCCGGUGGAAACUGUCGGGCUGGAGUCCGGAAGAGGCGAGUGGAAUUCCUGGUGUAGCGGUGAAAUGCGCAGAUAUCAGGAGGAACACCAAUGGCGAAGGCAGCUCGCUGGGACGGUACUGACGCUGAGGAGCGAAAGCAUGGGGAGCGAACAGG
rnacentral:rRNA from 1 species